AAUAGAAAUUGUUCCAAUUUGGGAAAGUAAUGCAACAAUAUCUGUUUUAAAAUGACAUAUAUCCUUUUACAGAACUAUCCUGUUUUUAUGACUCUAUUCUACAGAAAUAAAAGCCCAUAAAGUAUAUACACAAACAGCAUUGUUUAUGAUAACAAAUAACAAAGCAGAUGCAAAUUAGAAACAGCCUCAAUACUCAUAACUGGAGGGAUGGUUUGAUCAACUGUGUCCUUCUAUACUACAAAAUAUUAUACGACUAUUAAAGAGAAUGAAGUAGCUCCAUAUCUAUUGUCCUGGAGGGAUGUCCCUGAUGUAUUGGUAGAAAAGAAAGGCAACUGACAGAGUAAUUAAUACAACAUAUCCCAAUUCUGUAAAAAUCCACAAUAUGAUUUUUACUCUCUGUGUGAAUGUAGACUUGUCUGAGGAAUCACAAGGAUGUGGACAGAUAAAUAUGUCUGUUGACUUCGGAUACCUGGGGAGAAGUGGAUAGAGACUGGUGGUGAGAGAUUUGUGACAAUGUGUACAGGCUUUGGUUGCAGUGCUGUGCCACUUACGUAAUUUAAAAUUUUAUUUUAAGAGUAUAUUAAAGGCCGGGCGCAGGAAAGGAAAUUCAUGGAGUUCAGAUAAGAGUGAGGAACAUGGAGAAAGAGUAGGAGUAGAAAGGGUGAGAAGUGGCAUAGGCAGUGAGGAAGACAGGAAACUCUGCCAGGCUGCAGACAGGCUGGCUGUGUUCAAAUGUGGGGUUUGCAGUGGAGCUAACCCAACACCUACAGGACCA
rnacentral:lncRNA from 1 species